AUUAGAGUUUGAUAGUGGCUCAGAUUGAACGCUGGCGGCAGGCCUAACACAUGCAAGUCGAACGGUAACAGGAAGCAGCUUGCUGCUUCGCUGACGAGUGGCGGACGGGUGAGUAAUGUCUGGGAAACUGCCUGAUGGAGGGGGAUAACUACUGGAAACGGUAGCUAAUACCGCAUAACGUCGCAAGACCAAAGAGGGGGACCUUCGGGCCUCUUGCCAUCGGAUGUGCCCAGAUGGGAUUAGCUAGUAGGUGGGGUAACGGCUCACCUAGGCGACGAUCCCUAGCUGGUCUGAGAGGAUGACCAGCCACACUGGAACUGAGACACGGUCCAGACUCCUACGGGAGGCAGCAGUGGGGAAUAUUGCACAAUGGGCGCAAGCCUGAUGCAGCCAUGCCGCGUGUAUGAAGAAGGCCUUCGGGUUGUAAAGUACUUUCAGCGGGGAGGAAGGGAGUAAAGUUAAUACCUUUGCUCAUUGACGUUACCCGCAGAAGAAGCACCGGCUAACUCCGUGCCAGCAGCCGCGGUAAUACGGAGGGUGCAAGCGUUAAUCGGAAUUACUGGGCGUAAAGCGCACGCAGGCGGUUUGUUAAGUCAGAUGUGAAAUCCCCGGGCUCAACCUGGGAACUGCAUCUGAUACUGGCAAGCUUGAGUCUCGUAGAGGGGGGGUAGAAUUCUAGGUGUAGCGGUGAAAUGCGUAGAGAUCUGGAGGAAUACCGGUGGCGAAGGCGGCCCCCUGGACGAAGACUGACGCUCAGGUGCGAAAGCGUGGGGGAGCAAACAGGAUUAGAUACCCUGGUAGUCCACGCCGUAAACGAUGUCGACUUGGAGGUUGUGCCCUUGAGGCGUGGCUUCCGGAGCUAACGCGUUAAGUCGACCGCCUGGGGGAGUACGGCCGCAAGGUUAAAACUCAAAUGAAUUGACGGGGGCCCGCACAAGCGGUGGAGCAUGUGGUUUAAUUCGAUGCAACGCGAAGAACCUUACCUGGUCUUGACAUCCACAGAACUUUCCAGAGAUGGAUUGGUGCCUUCGGGAACUGUGAGACAGGUGCUGCAUGGCUGUCGUCAGCUCGUGUUGUGAAAUGUUGGGUUAAGUCCCGCAACGAGCGCAACCCUUAUCCUUUGUUGCCAGCGGUCCGGCCGGGAACUCAAAGGAGACUGCCAGUGAUAAACUGGAGGAAGGUGGGGAUGACGUCAAGUCAUCAUGGCCCUUACGACCAGGGCUACACACGUGCUACAAUGGCGCAUACAAAGAGAAGCGACCUCGCGAGAGCAAGCGGACCUCAUAAAGUGCGUCGUAGUCCGGAUUGGAGUCUGCAACUCGACUCCAUGAAGUCGGAAUCGCUAGUAAUCGUGGAUCAGAAUGCCACGGUGAAUACGUUCCCGGGCCUUGUACACACCGCCCGUCACACCAUGGGAGUGGGUUGCAAAAGAAGUAGGUAGCUUAACCUUCGGGAGGGCGCUUACCACUUUGUGAUUCAUGACUGGGGUGAAGUCGUAACAAGGUAACCGUAGGGGAACCUGCGGUUGGAUCACCUCCUUUGUGAAU
rnacentral:rRNA from 1 species